rnacentral:lncRNA from 1 species
UUGGCACAAGCUUAGAUGUGUUAUAAAUUUGGAGUUGAAUUUGGAACAUUGUUGUUGUCCAAUGAGAUGACUUGACUCCAUCAAGCUCUUUAUCCUUUCACAAACUCUUCUGACUUUUGAAACUAAAUGUGCUAUUCUUUUCCUGCUUUCGUCUCCGCCAUGGUCAUGCUAAUUCGUACAAUAUUUAACGAAAUGGUACCCAAACC